CUUUUUGGUCCAGCACAGAAAGUAAUCAAACAAAAAGCAAUUGGAAUAUCUAACUUUACAGCAUUUCCGUGGAGGAAACGCCAAAAAUAUAUUCCUCCCCAUACAAUUUAUUUUCAGUUGAGAUCCUAUAUAUAUUGAUGUGGCACGCAGAUUUUAUUGGACAAGAAAUGCCAUCCAAGUAUGGGCUCCUCCUAACUGGUGUGAGCUGAGCUUUGCCUAUGAUAAUGGCCGAGUUGGAGCUCACACCAGUGGAGGACUCCAUACAAACUGGAAUGGAGGGGCCUUCCUUAUAUUGUAACCUCAUUUUCAAGCUUAUCAUGAUGAAAGAGUGAGUGCAAAGGAGACUGGCCUUAUAUUGGCGAUGUUGUAGUGUAUUUUUAUUAACUGAGAAUAUGAUGGGGAUAGGAUUAAAGAGCUGCAGGAUUUACAGAGCAGCCUUGUUCAGCAACGGUAUGAGAUUCAUCAGAGCUAGCUGUUGGGCUUGGCAAACAAAAAGAAGAAAAACUAUGUAAAUAUGGGCUGGAUUAUUUGCUGUAAAACUUUGUUGAAUCAGACUGUAGAUCUUUCUUAGUAUGUCGCUUAAUAGACAGCCCUGUCUAGUGUUUGUCUACUAUAGAUGGCGAUAGGAUUUUGAGAGAGCAGCCUUGUCCAUCAGGUGAGGGAGAGUCGGCCCUGGCAAACCAAAAAGAAGCACAAAUAUGUAAAUAUGGGCUAUAUUAUUUCCAGUAAAACUUUGUUCAAGUAGAUUGCUAUGUCUUUCUUUGUAUGUGGAAUAUCACGACAGUCCCAGCCUAGUCUUUGUCUAGUGUAUUUUGUUUUAAAGUUUUGUUUUUAUCUUUUAAUAUAAUCCGAUAGGUUGCCUCACUUA